GGGUGGCGAGUGGCGGACGGGUGAGUAAUGCAUCGGGACCUACCCAGACGUGGGGGAUAACGUAGGGAAACUUACGCUAAUACCGCAUACGUCCUACGGGAGAAAGCGGGGGAUCUUCGGACCUCGCGCGGUUGGACGGACCGAUGUGCGAUUAGCUAGUUGGUAGGGUAAUGGCCUACCAAGGCGACGAUCGCUAGCUGGUCUGAGAGGAUGAUCCGCCACACUGGAACUGAGACACGGUCCAGACUCCUACGGGAGGCAGCAGUGGGGAAUUUUGGACAAUGGGGGCAACCCUGAUCCAGCCAUUCCGCGUGAGUGAAGAAGGCCUUCGGGUUGUAAAGCUCUUUUAGACGGAAAGAAACGGUUACAGAUAAUACCUGUGACUAAUGACGGUACCGUCAGAAAAAGCACCGGCUAACUACGUGCCAGCAGCCGCGGUAAUACGUAGGGUGCGAGCGUUAAUCGGAAUUACUGGGCGUAAAGCGUGCGCAGGCGGUUUGGUAAGACAGACGUGAAAUCCCCGGGCUUAACCUGGGAACUGCGUUUGUGACUGCCAGACUAGAGUGUA
rnacentral:rRNA from 1 species